GCACAACUGUGUCGUGUCUUAUGCAGCCUUCUAACCUCCUUAAGGAAACUUUACCAUAUAAUAGGAAAUUAGGUCAGUAGAUUGCAAAAGCUAUGGCACAAUUGUGCCAUGUUUUAUGCAAUCUUCUGAGCACUCAAAGGAGUUUUUAUUAAAAUUUUUUUUAAGUAAAUUAAAUUUUCAAAAUCCCUAAGUAGAAAAAGAUAAAAACCUAAAAAAAGUUUCUUUUCUCUUCUUCUUCCUCAAAGCAGCCACUCAUCUCUUUCUCUCUUCCCUUCUCUCCCUUCCUAUCCACCGUCGACCACCACCACACCCAAGCGGCACUGUCGAACUGGCGAUAGGCGACCAACCUCUAUCGCCGUUAGCCUCACUUCCACUAGAUUGCGGAGUGUCAACCCGCUUCCACCCAUCGCAUGCGUCAACAACCCCUCCAUCGCCGAACAACCUUUCUUCUUUCAAAUUGCGAGCCGACCAUCUUCUCCCUUUCCUGACUAGAUCGCGCCGGCCAGCAUCGUCCAGCUUCUUCCUCUUCAGAUCGCGGCGCGUCAGUGUGCAAAAUCCGCAUGUACACGGAAUCGCAACAAGUAAUAUAAUGAUGAAUAUUUUCUUUUAUAUGAGACAGAUCAAAUUUACAUUGAAGAAAUAAUUUAGGAAGAAGAAGAGGAGGAUACUCAAGAAGUAGAAGCUAUGGCUCAACAAAAAAAAUAGAACAAUUCGAGAUCUUGCUUAUCUUAGUUUUGGUGAUUUUUGGCCUAGUGUAGUGAGACCGAGGAUUGAUGCAAAUAAUUUUGAGUUAAAGUCGUCUUUAGUUCAAAUGGUACAACAAUCUCAUUUUAGUGGGCAAUCUACUGAGAACCCACAUCUACACUUGAGCAAUUUCAUGGAGAUAAGUGAUAUGAUCAAGCUUAAUGGAGUUUUUAAAGAUGCAAUCAGAUUGAGAAUUUUUCCAUUUUCAUUAAGAGAUAGAGCUAGAGAGUGGCUCAAUGCUUUGCCACUUGGAUCUAUUACCAGUUGAGAGCAGUUGUCACAGGCUUUUAUUGAGUAGUAUCUACUUCCAGGCAAGAUGGCUAAGUUGAGAACUGAGCUUACUUCUUUCACACCAAGGGAGGAUGAGUCUUUAUAUGAAGCUUGGAGUGAGAUAAGGAACUUCAAAGGAAGUGUCCUCAUCAUAGUAUACCAAAGUGGAUGAUAGUGCAACACUUUUACAAUGUCGUUUCUCCAAAUUUGAGAAGUGCGAUUGAUGAAGCUGUAAAAGGUGAUUUAAUGGGAAAAACUGAAGAUGAUGCUUUUGCUUGCUUGGACAAGAUAGCUUACAAAAACUACCAGUGGAAUAGUGAAAGAGCUCAUGUGAAGAGUGAAGCUAAGAAAGCUGCUAGAAUGUUUGAGAUUGAUGCCAUGUCAAUGAUCAAUGUCAUGUUGAUGCCUUAGCUAGAAGGAUGGAUAAGAUGACCAUGGGAAUGUAUGUUAAGAAUGUAAAUGCUAUGAAUGACAUGAGCUAUGGAGCAACCUUUGGGUAUGAAAAUCAAAGUUAGGGACAAGAUUUUUCAGCUUAGCAAAUCAAUUAUGUCAACAACUAUGGGCAAUGACACAUGGGUAAUCCAUACUCAAGCAUUUACAAUCAAGGGUGGAAGAAUCAUCCUAACUUCUCUUGGUCUGAACAAUCGAAGCAAAAUCAGAUUUUCAGCAACAAUUUCCUCCUCUACAAUAACACUUCUCAACAGGAAGAGUGUAACUAAUUUGGAUUAACCAUUUUCGAUCAAGUAGAAAAUGAUCUAAAAAGUUAUUUGGGUCAGUUUGGGCUGGGCUGUAGCAAUGGGUUUAGUUUUGGAUAUCUCCACGUCCGACCAUCUACCAAUUUUAAUUUUUAUAGGUAUAGAUUUUUGUUCCACGACAGCAGGCCCAUCUUUUUCAUUUUCAGAAUCAAUGGACUAGAGAAUUAGAUUUUUGAAACUUGUUGGACGAAUACAGUAACAGAGGAUAUGCAUCAUUAGCUUACUGUUUGUAGCAAAAAAAUUGGAUGAGUGGGGCUAGAAUUACAGGAACAAAUUUAAGGAAGGGACUGAGGAUUGUAGAACAUAGAUUCAUCGAUUGAAGGGUUGAAGAAUAGUUAGUGAUCGAUGAAAGUCCCUAUAUUGUAAAAACAUAUCGGCUGAACUUUUUGAAUAGGGGGAGCUUUUUUGGAAACAACGGGCAAAGGAAGCAUAGUUAAGGGAUGGUAAUUGUAAUACCCGGUUUUCCAUGUGAAAGCUACUGCCAAGUAGAAAACAGAGGCGGUAACUGGCAUGGGACACUGGGCUAAAUCAGGUAAUUUCUUAUUAUUGUGGCAAACUCUAUAGGUCACAAUCCUGUGCACCAAAUAGUGUUAUUAAUCUUGUCCCUAGAUGUGUCACAAAAGAGGAUAAUCAAAUACUGGAGGAGUUUUUUACUAGUGAUGAUAUACGAAAGGUACUGUUUAGUACGGGAAGUGACAAGUCACCUGGGAUUGAUGGAUUAAACCCUAGGUUUUUUCAAAAGUAUUGGGAUGUUAUUGGAGCCAAUGUCUAUUCUUUCUGUGCUUCAUGGGCUAUCUCAGGGACAUUUCCAAAGUCGUUAAAUCAGAUAAUCCUAGCACUUAUCCUAAAAAAAUAAAACUCGAAAUGUUUACCAAGAUGUUUGCUAACCGAUUGAAGCAUAUUUUGCCACAUAUUAUCUCUCUAACCUAGAGUGCAUUUGUGGCAAGACGACAUAUUCAAGAUAAUUUUGUGGUUGCUUUUGAAAUGCUUCAUUAUCUGAGAGCUAAAAGGAAUGGGAAGGUUGGAUAUUUAGUGCUAAAGAUCGAUAUUAGUAAAACAUAAGAUAGAUUGGAAUGGUCUUUUUUAAAAGCAAUAAUGCAGAAGAUGGGGUUUAGUGAUAAUGGGGUUGACUUGACGUUUCUGUAAGUUUCAACGAUUUCUUUUUAGGUUCUUCAACAAGAGAAUCUUAUUGGACUGAUUUUUUCAAGAAGGGGGUUGAGACAGGAAGAUCCCUUAAGUCCAUAUCUUUUCAUUAUCGGUGCAAAAGCUCUAUCCAUACUUAUUGAGACUCGAGUGGAAGGCAAUCAACUUCAGGAAAUCCUUGAUUUACUUUAGUCCUAAUACUGUUCAAACAACAAGGUCGAAUGUUUGCUCCAAGUUGCAGGUCGAGGAGCAUGAUGAUUUUGGAACAUAUUUGUGCCUUACUAUGAUUAUUGUCCGGAAAAAAAAAAGGUCUUUGAUUUUGUAAAGAAUAUACAAAAAAGAGGCCUUCCUAUGGCCAUUGGCCGAAACAAUUAGAUUACAUAUACAUCUUUUUUUUGUUUUUUUCUCGAAAUAGAUUGCGUUUACAUUUGUAAUGUGUACAGGUUGAAAGACCUAUGACUAAUACAUAUGCCAAAAUGCAAUGACCUCUAAAAUUUUUCC